GCUGUCUGCACGUCGCUCUCCCAGCCAGGCUGAGUUCCUGGGUCCCGGGCCAACCUCCGGCUAGGUCUGGCCGGGCGGGCGUUCCGGUCUGCAUAUACCAAGCAAGAGAUGGCUUCCAAGGGAGGGCUCUGACCACCCCGGCAUUUUAAGCAUGCAAAUGCAGAAGGAAAUCUCAGGUACUGUUGCACAAGUUACCCACUAUGUCAGAGCACCUUCUACCCACAGACCUUAAAGCAUCUUGCAAGCCAGGUGACCUCAUGUUUAUUUGUGGGCAUGUGUUCAGCUAUUCAUAUGCAUGUGGAUCACAUGACUUUUGAAAAUGACCACUGAGGGACCUAUCAAGUCAAGGCACAUCUCAAUCCUGAUACCACUAGUAUAUCUACAUGGUGGUUCUCAGCUUCGUGUUACCGGUUUUAUGAAAGAGAAAGAACUUUGGCAGAACUGGGUCCAGGUCUUCUUGGUGGGCUGGACACCUCCCUGUGUUCUGUCGGUUGCUGUGACUUGGCUAGCACAGACGAUCAGCCCCUGAGGACCCCACUCCAAAGGCAGCUGAAGAAAAGUAACGCACGUUUCGCACGUUUUGGUCUGUGCCUCUCUCCUCAAUCGUGCCUGGUUUCGCCAGCAAGAGCUGCGAUUCAUUUUAUACCAUUAAUGAUUCCGUUGUGCUUAGGCAGUUCCGUAAUAAAAUAGUACUUUGAGUGUUGUUAUUCAAAAGAGAAAGCUGCUGCACAGGAGGAGGAAAUGCAUUUGAUUAAGUAACAAAUAUAUAGUGUGUGUCCUUUAGAAGUGCCAUGAGCUCUACCUUGGGGCGGUAUCCAUGUGGAGUUUAGAAUAAAAUAAUGAGGAAGGGCCCGUUGGGCUAUCCAAUAGAAAUAUAA